rnacentral:lncRNA from 1 species
UUUUAUACCAAAAAACAUAAUUAUUUAGUUUGAAAUCAUAUUAUAUAUUAUACGAAUUUUAGAGUCAUAUUGUCAAAAAGUCAUUUAUUAAAAAAUAUUUUAUAUUUAAAUAAAAGAAUAAAAAAAGGCUUAUAUCAUCUACUAAAAUGAUCAAAUCUAGAAUUAAUAUCAAAGCUCUAAAUUUUGAAAAUAAAAAUAAAAAAACAAAACAGAAGCAUAAAAGAAAAGUUUUUAUAUUCUUCCAUAUUUAGUGUUCAUCAAAUUAAUAUGUCUUCGAUUGAACACAAUUCUGUUUGUUUAAAUAAAAAAAAAGUUGUAAAGAAUUUCAACUAAUUGUUAUCUAUCAAAUUUAUAAUAUUUACUUCAAUUUAGUUACUGUUAAAAUAAAGCAAAAAUAUCAAAAAAAGACUAAGAAAAUAAUAAACUUCAGUUGCAGUAAAUUGUUACUUAAUUAUAGUUCAAGUGAUUCAAGUGAUUUACAAAUUAUAAUUAUAGUUCAACUCAUGUAACAAAUAGAUAUUCAUGCGUCG